AGGUUUUAGAAGCAGAGUCAGGCGAAGCUGGGCCAGAACCGCGACCUCCGCAACCUUGAGCGGCAUCCGUGGAGUGCGCCUGCGCAGCUACGACCGCAGCAGGAAAGCGCCGCCGGCCAGGCCCAGCUGUGGCCGGACAGGGACUGGAAGAGAGGACGCGGUCGAGUAGGUGUGCACCAGCCCUGGCAACGAGAGCGUCUACCCCGAACUCUGCUGGCCUUGAGGUGGGGAAGCCGGGGAGGGCAGUUGAGGACCCCGCGGAGGCGCGUGACUGGUUGAGCGGGCAGGCCAGCCUCCGAGCCGGGUGGACACAGCUGGGGUGAAGAAUGGGGCAUGGGUGGCUACGUAAAGAUGGCCAAAGACCGGAGAAACCAUUGUGGAAUUGCCUCAGCAGCCAGCUACCCCACUGUGUGAGCUGGUGGACGGUGAUGAGGAAGGACUUGACUGGGGAUGGCGCAUGCAUGGGAGGAAUUCAUCUUCAGUCUACCAGCCCCCGCUGUGUCGGAUACACACUCGAAUCAUUGAAGAUCCGAGUGUGAUUUGAAUUCUGUGAUAUUUUCACACUGGUAAAUGUUACCUCUAUUUUAAUUACUGCUAUAAAUAGGUUUAUAUUAUUGAUUCACUUACUGACUUUGCAUUUUCGUUUUUAAAAGGAUGUAUAAAUUUUUACCUGUUUAAAUAAAAUUUAAUUUCAAAUGUAGUGGUGGGGCUUCUUUCUAUUUUUGAUGCACUGAAUUUUUGUGUAAUAAAGAACAUAAUUGGGCUCUAAGCCAU
rnacentral:lncRNA from 1 species